rnacentral:rRNA from 1 species
UCCAGAGGGUGCGAUCGUUAAUCGGAAUUACUGGGCGUAAAGCGUGCGUAGACGGUCGUGCAAGUCGGGUGUGAAAGCCCCAGGCUCAACCUGGGAAUUGCAUUCGAGACUGCUCGGCUAGGGUGCGGAAGAGGGAAGCGGAAUUUCCGGUGUAGCGGUGAAAUGCGUAGAUAUCGGAAGGAACACCAGUGGCGAAAGCGGCUUCCUGGUCCGACACCGACGUUCAGGCACGAAAGCGUGGGGAGCAAACAGG